GGUGCUCACGGUAUCCCCAUAACACUACCCCUACUCCCGAGUCUGAGAAUUAGAGAAAGAAAGUACUCCAAAAGUACCUCGAACUCGAUGCCGGAUGUUUCUGCUUUCACGCCUGUCUUCUACAUUUAAGGCUCAUGGUGUCAGCUUGAUACGGUCGUUACGGAUGAGCGCAAUUGUUGGGACCACUCAGACGACGUUCCUCUCGAAGCUUUAAUUAUUUUGCGGUGGCUUUUUAUUUUUUUUCUCUUUUAAAUUCACGCUUUGAAGAACGAAUAUGCACAAAUUUUUUAGUAUUGAUUUCUCAUCAUUUUCUUAGGGCUGGAUGGAUUCACAAUGCGUGAAGAAGCUAGAGCAGAUUCUGGCUCGAAGGAGACAAGUUGUGGUUCCAGUUGCUAAAGCGGAACCUGCGGUCAGGAAAAAAGAUCAUGCCAUUUUUGCCAUCGAGCCCACGUCCCCAUCAUCGAAAGAUAUGGUGCAUGAUUCGUCAGAAAAAGUUUUGAUCGAUGGGGCACUGUCGGAGACAACAUUGAAAAUGAGUAUCGUGGGAUGCUUCAAAGAGGAUCCGACUGAGAUAUCGAGGAUGGAGAAGGUGGUUGAUGAUUCGGAGAAGGAUCUGAUGAUGUCAAUGGAAACUGGGGG
rnacentral:lncRNA from 1 species